GGAGAAGUCCGCAAGGCUAGAACAGGACCCACGCCGCCGUGUCCUCCCGGAGGAGAUCCUCGCCGGCGGCGGACCGCCCACCACCCCAAUAACCCUCCUCUUCUUCCCCGUCACCUCCACCAUCCUCUCCAGCUUCGAGUACGGGCGGAACCGAAUACCAACCCACCCUCGCCUUUGAUUGACCAUUGGAAAUCUACCGGCGAGUGGCGCCUCGUACUCUACCGGAACCAGAAAGGUCUGAUGCUCACAUUGGUCUUGAAUUUCUGAUACCAGGCCUUUCUUGGGAUGAAUUACUUCGAAGUUGCAGGUCCAGCUUUCAGGCUCCACUGCAGCUACAACUAUGAACUCGAUGAGAUGUUCCCUGAAUUGACUCGCUGCUGUGCAGUUCCUCCCUACGAGAUUUCGUUGUUGAGUUCAAUUUUUCAAUCUUCUUUUUUUAGAUGAAAGGCAGUUGCCCAGUUCCAUUUGAACGAAACAGAAUUCAGUUAGGCUCCAUUACAGGCCAUAAUCAGGCAUCAACCGCUAUAAGAAGCGCAAACGAACGAAAACGGUCUAAAAGCAACUGAACGAGGUAUCAAAACUGGGGAUAUAGCACACCUGGUAUGUCACAAAGAUUUCCCAUCUUUUUGACAGUUUCUUUACAUACACAGAUUGUCAUAUACAGACUCUUCUUUUUCCACAGUAUUCUGCACCGAUAAGGCGAUAACUAUUGUUUGGUCGUUCUGAUCUAGCCAUCAGUCUCCACUGAAUCAAGUACCCAAUCUUGUGCGAUGCAAAGUGGCACUCGAAGGGCCUCUAACUCCCAUAUGGUUUUUGCUCGUUCAUGCUCGUCAUUUUUGUUUUUUGGAAGAGUGAAUGAACACACAGAAAGCUAGCUCUUUGUAAUUUGCAGUAAAAAUAAAGGAGAUGGAGUAAGAAAUUAGAUUGAUUGCAAAAAAAUCUCUGCCAUGCGCACUGGUGCUAGCACACCAGCAUACGGCAUUCAUGGAUUACACACGGCACCAACAUGCCGACAACCAUUGCAGCAGAGCUGCUGGAUUUGGUACAGUUUCAAAGAACUAGGCUAGAUACUUCCUCUCAACUUGGGAUAUCGCAGUGUGGUCACUUGGGGGAUUCUCUUACUCUGUGUCUGGCUCCCAUGAACUAACCAUAGAAUUGGAAAUUAAAAUAGAAAUAGGGUUGUUUGUCUGCCAAAAGAAUUAGAACCAUCAAUUCCAUCUCCAAUUCCAAGGAUGGGAAAAUAACUAGAUCAAUUGUUUACUCCCACCAAAUAAUCAGAUGCUUUCAGUGGAAGCCCCAAGCUUGUGAGAGGCCCACUGUACACUAGGGCAUGUCAAAAUGCACAAAGUUGCUCCUUUUAGGACUGGAUUAUCUCGGAAAAAAUACUCCCUCCGAUCCAUAAUAAGUAUUGCUGAUUUAGUACAAAGUUCCAAAUGCCAAACUUCAAUAAGCUGGCACAAACACAUCCAGUUGAUCACGCCAGGCAUUUCCGAGCCCUAAUAAGCCAGGAUCACAGCGAGACUCAGGCUGGCACAAACACAUCCUGCUUCCCUCCUUCACAUCUGUUCCAUCAACCACCCCCUUUUACAUCUAUAUGUCCUUUGCCAUCGGCGAUGUGGUCUCCUCUGUGGUGGGAAUCAGAGGCGUGUGCCUCUUAGAUCACCGUCCUCAUCUAAGUAUGAAUCUAAUCUACAUUGUCGGUGUGGUCUCCUAUUUCUGUAAUAUGAUGAUGAGGUAUUCUCGUGGAUCCGCUCCACCUGCGCCCCGCCGACCGCCGGCGAAUUUUUUUCAACCUGGUGGCAGGUGUUUGUCUAUGCAGUCCUCCCCUUCCCCUGCCUGGAAGGGCACUACGUCACUGGUCAGGCUUACGGCGUGGUUGAUCUGGAAGCAUCUCCUGCCGUCUUCGACAAUGCAACCCCCAACCUCGCCUCUCUUCUUGACCUCAUCAAGAUGGACACUAAGAGUUGGGCGAGAGCGGGAGCUGUGGGCCUUGGAGCAUUGCUGCCGGCAGACCCUAGUUAGGCGCGUCAUGUUGUAAUUCGGGUGUGGCCCUCUCUGGCCUUGUACUACAUGACUUUCUUUCUGCAAAUGCAUUGAGACGCAAAGCUUUUGCGUUUUAUUCUGUGGUUGCCACAUAUUUAUUCUUGCUUGGUUCAAGCAUUUGAGCAUCCCAUGUUCCCUGCAAUUAAUUGAUCUCAUCUUUUCUUAGUAUUCAGCUGUUGUUCUGGUGAGAUGAAUUCACUUUUUCUGGGUGAUAAGAAACCACUUUAACAAGACAGAAUUUAAUGAGGCUAACCAAAUGAAGAACUUACAAACUGAUUUCUUCCAUAUCUGCCAGCAACAUGUUGCACUGGUAGAACCAGCACACUGGAGUUUAUAAUCUGAUCGUACAUGAUACUCUCCAUUUCCAAAUAGACUUCUACGAUUUCGAUGAAUCACUGUGUUGGUACUCAACUGGUCCCAAAGCUGCAGGUCUUCACUAGUGGCCUGAAAAAUCCUCUCCUGAAGAGUGCGCUUGUGCUUCAUCGUUGUCGAUACACAGGCUGCUCAACCGAGCCCUUGUUCAACCAUCCUCCCUGCUAGAACAGAAACUUCCCUCCACUUCCUAACUGCAAUGAAACCAGAGAAUUGAAGAAAAGCAUGAAUCUCCUAUUUGGCAUGGACCUACCGGAACAGCAAUCCAGGGAAAGAGGUAAGGCUAUCUGUGUAAGUGACUCGAGGUUUGGACAUUUCUCUAUGUACAGAGACUCAAGGGAUGUAAGAUGAAUCAUGCUGUAUGGCAGUGAUGUCAAUUCUGGGCAGUCAGUGAAGUGAAGUUCCU